rnacentral:ncRNA from 1 species
AAUCCAAAAAUCUAGUGAAAAACAUCCAUAAAUAUGCUUAGUAUUUGGGGUAAAAAUAUGUAUAAUUUGGUGUUUAUCAACAGUCAAAGAGUGCUUGAAAUUGUCGGGAGGGAAGCGAAUAGGGGCUGGCGAUGCGCCCCGAUCGGAUGUGGAAUGGCGAGAGUCGGUCCGCCGAUCGGGUCCGGGGACUGGCCGCGAGGUCGGGACCGACGCGGGUCAUGGCGGCAGCCUAAGUCUGGGCCUUUGAUACACCUAUGGAGACAUCGUCGCCUCGAUCAUGGAAUCCAGCACACGCCGUUUUGGCGUGCUUCGGCACCUGCGAGCUCCGGGUGUCGGCCUGCGGGCUCCCCAUUUGGCCCGUCUUGAAACACAGACCAAGGAGUCUGACAUGUGUGCGAAUCAACGGGCUAGAAAACCUGUAAGGCACAAGGAAGCUGAUUGGCAGGAUCCCUCGUGGGUGCACCGCCAACCGACCUUAAUCUUCUGAGAAGGGUUCGAGUGAUAGCAUGCCUGUCGGGACCUGAAAUAUGGUGAACUAUGCUGAGUGGUGUGGGCCAAUCGUCGGCCCAAGUGGCUGUGGUAAUGAUUUUCUGGCUGGUCAAGCCCGUGCCCAUGGAAAUAUAGCCAACGACUCCAGGACCAAGUUCCCUAUAUCGGGCAAAGUUCUCCUAUGGUGGCUUAUGCAUUGCUAUGAGCUGAAGCUUAUCUUGCCCAUUCUCCCCAAUCAUGUUAGGGACACUUGUGCCUUCUAAGUCAGCAACCCAUCGGUGCCUUGGCCUUGCCAAGGCCUUGCUUGCAUUCAAAACUGCCCGUGACCCCAGUACCAAGUCCCUUUGAUGGCAACGGCUCACUGGGGGGCGUAAGUUGAGUUUGCAAGCUCAGUCUUGGCUCGACCAAGUCCCAAUCGAGUUUUGCCCCUCGUAGUUCUCGUGCAAGCAGUUGUGGUGUGCCCUCUUUUCAUUGUUCCUUCCGCUCCCCUACCAAUACAUUGGUUGGGUAGGUUGUUAGCCGGUGUGCAUUGGUGCUACUACUAGUACGCAAUGGGCAUAUGAGUGGUGUUUUGGUUGUGUGUAUUGAUAGGAUCCAUGCUACCCGUAUCGAACUGCUGAGCCGCAAUCCUGUUCAUUGACUUCCCUUGUUCUAAUUGAAUCCAAGGGGUGCGAUCGGGAUCCUGUGUUGCGUACCUAAGCCAAAUGGAAUUAUGGAUGUGUUGCUGUCCCUUCUCCAUCUCGUGCCCUUUGGGGUGCAUGGUGGACCAUAAUCGUGCCCUACGUCCCGAGUGUGCCCCCUUAAACCGGUGUGGCCUUGUCGGUGCACUGGUGCUUGAUCGUGCUUUCGGAUGCAGAAAAUAUUUUUGAGAGUAGGGUUUAGGCUCUUGUCUAUAGAUGCCUAUGCAUUUUGUCUCUUGACAGGGAUGAUACUCGUGCUCUGUUAUGACCUUUUCGUUGCUCAUGCAAAAUGUUGAAAGCCAUGCAGUACCGACGUCGUGGAGGAAUACUACCUGGUUGAUCUUGCCAGUAGUCAUAUGCUUGCCUCAAAGAUUAAGCCAUGCAUGUGUAAGUAUGAAUAAAUUCAGACUGUGAAACUGCGAAUGGCUCAUUAAAUCAGUUAUAGUUU